GACGAAGGUGGCGAGCGUUGUUCGGAAUUACUGGGCGUAAAGGGCUCGUAGGCGGCCAACUAAGUCAGACGUGAAAUCCCUCGGCUUAACCGGGGAACUGCGUCUGAUACUGGAUGGCUUGAAUCCGGGAGAGGGAUGCGGAAUUCCAGGUGUAGCGGUGAAAUGCGUAGAUAUCUGGAGGAACACCGGUGGCGAAGGCGGCAUCCUGGACCGGCAUUGACGCUGAGGAGCGAAAGCCAGGGGAGCAAACGGG
rnacentral:rRNA from 1 species